rnacentral:rRNA from 1 species
UACGUAGGGUGCAAGCGUUGUCCGGAAUUAUUGGGCGUAAAGAGCUCGUAGGCGGUUUGUCGCGUCGGCUGUGAAAACUCGGGGCUCAACCCCGAGCCUGCAGUCGAUACGGGCAGACUAGAGUGCUGUAGGGGAGACUGGAAUUCCUGGUGUAGCGGUGAAAUGCGCAGAUAUCAGGAGGAACACCGGUGGCGAAGGCGGGUGCUGGGCUGACUGAUCACGCUGGAGGACGAAAGCUGGGGAGCGAACGGG